AGCGAACAGAUAAGGAGCUUGCUCCUUUGACGUUAGCGGCGGACGGGUGAGUAACACGUGGAUAACCUACCUAUAAGACUGGGAUAACUUCGGGAAACCGGAGCUAAUACCGGAUAAGAUUUUGAACCGCAUGGUUCAAUAGUGAAAGACGGCCUUGCUGUCACUUAUAGAUGGAUCCGCGCCGUAUUAGCUAGUUGGUAAGGUAACGGCUUACCAAGGCAACGAUACGUAGCCGACCUGAGAGGGUGAUCGGCCACACUGGAACUGAGACACGGUCCAGACUCCUACGGGAGGCAGCAGUAGGGAAUCUUCCGCAAUGGGCGAAAGCCUGACGGAGCAACGCCGCGUGAGUGAUGAAGGUCUUCGGAUCGUAAAA
rnacentral:rRNA from 1 species